rnacentral:misc_RNA from 1 species
GAUGAAGAACGUAGCGAAAUGCGAUAAGUAGUGUGAAUUGCAGAAUUCAGUGAAUCAUCGAAUCUUUGAACGCACAUUGCGCCCCAUGGUAUUCCGUGGGGCAUGCCUGUUCGAGCGUCAUUUACCCCCUCAAGCUCCGCUUGGUGUUGGGCGUCUGUCCCGCUUCGCGCGCGGACUCCCCCCAAAGGUAUUGGCAGCGGUCGUGCCAGCUUCUCGCGCAGCACAUUGCGCUUCUCGAGGCACCGGUGGGCCCGCGUCCAUCAAGCUCACCCCCCCAGUUUGACCUCGGAUCAGGUAGGGAUACCCGCUGAACUUAAGCAUAUCAAUAAGCGGAGGA